CCUACGGGGCGCAGCAGUCGGGAAUAUUGCGCAAUGGAGGAAACUCUGACGCAGUGACGCCGCGUAUAGGAAGAAGGUUUUCGGAUUGUAAACUAUUGUCGUUAGGGAAGAUAAAAGACAGUACCUAAGGAGGAAGCUCCGGCUAACUACGUGCCAGCAGCCGCGGUAAUACGGAAGGUCCGGGCGUUAUCCGGAUUUAUUGGGUUUAAAGGGAGCGUAGGACGGCUUUUAAGUCAGCUGUGAAAGUCCGCGGCUCAACCGUGGAAUUGCAGUUGAAACUGGAGGCC
rnacentral:rRNA from 1 species